GACGAACGCUGGCGGCGUGCUUAACACAUGCAAGUCGAACGGAAAGGCCCUGCUUUUGUGGGGUGCUCGAGUGGCCAACGGGUGAGUAACACGUGAGUAACCUGCCCUUGACUUUGGGAUAACUUCAGGAAACUGGGGCUAAUACCGGAUAGGAGCUCCUGCUGCAUGGUGGGGGUUGGAAAGUUUCGGCGGUUGGGGAUGGACUCGCGGCUUAUCAGCUUGUUGGUGGGGUAGUGGCUUACCAAGGCUUUGACGGGUAGCCGGCCUGAGAGGGUGACCGGCCACAUUGCGACUGAGCUACGGCCCAGACUCCUACGGGAGGCAGCAGUGGGGAAUAUUGCACAAUGGGCGGAAGCCUGAUGCAGCAACGCCGCGUGCGGGAUGACGGCCUUCGGGUUGUAAACCGCUUUCGCCUGUGACGAAGCGUGAGUGACGGUAAUGGGUAAAGAAGCACCGGCUAACUACGUG
rnacentral:rRNA from 1 species